CAGGGGAUAUUUUAUGUUUAAAAUAUUAGUUUUGGGGAUUAAUGAAAUGGUACUUCGCCUUUCCUCUGA
rnacentral:tRNA from 1 species